AUUAUAUUUUCAUCACUGUUGAAGAUUUUAUGGAAUUGGAGAAAAGUGGUGCUCUCCUAGAAAGUGGGACUUAUGAAGGACUGAAGGUGUUGACUUCCUG
rnacentral:sRNA from 1 species